GAUGAACGCUAGCUACAGGCUUAACACAUGCAAGUCGAGGGGCAGCGGGAUUGAAGCUUGCUUCAAUUGCCGGCGACCGGCGCACGGGUGAGUAACGCGUAUCCAACCUUCCGUACACUCAGGGAUAGCCUUUCGAAAGAAAGAUUAAUACCUGAUGGUAUGAUGAGAUUGCAUGAUAUCAUCAUUAAAGAUUUAUCGGUGUACGAUGGGGAUGCGUUCCAUUAGGUAGUAGGCGGGGUAACGGCCCACCUAGCCAACGAUGGAUAGGGGUUCUGAGAGGAAGGUCCCCCACAUUGGAACUGAGACACGGUCCAAACUCCUAAGGGAGGCAGCAGUGAGGAAUAUUGGUCAAUGGACGAGAGUCUGAACCAGCCAAGUAGCGUGAAGGAUGAAGGUCCUACGGAUUGUAAACUUCUUUUAUAAGGGAAUAAACCCUCCCACGUGUGGGAGCUUGUAUGUACCUUAUGAAUAAGCAUCGGCUAACUCCGUG
rnacentral:rRNA from 1 species